rnacentral:rRNA from 1 species
GGAGACUGCCGGUGUCAAACCGGAGGAAGGUGGGAUGACGUCAAGUCCUCAUUGGCCCUUAUGACCAGGGCUACACACGUGCUACAAUGGCCGGUACAAAGAGUUGCGAUACCGUGAGGUGGAGCCAAUCUCAUAAAGCCGGUCUCAGUUCGGAUUGGAGUCUGCAACUCGACUCCAUGAAGUUGGAAUCGCUAGUAAUCGCGGAUCAGCAUGCCGCGGUGAAUACGUUCCCGGGCCUU